CCUACGGGGGGCAGCAGUGAGGAAUAUUGGUCAAUGGGCGGAAGCCUGAACCAGCCAAGUAGCGUGCAGGAUGACGGCUCUACGGGUUGUAAACUGCUUUUAUACGGGAAUAACGCGCCUUACGUGUAGGGCUUUGCAUGUACCGUACGAAUACGGACCGGCUAAUUCCGUGCCAGCAGCCGCGGUAAUACGGAAGGUCCGGGCGUUGUCCGGAUUUAUUGGGUUUAAGGGGAGCGUAGGCGGCAUGUCAAGCGUGCUGUGAAAUGUCCGGGCUCAACCCGGGCCUUGCAGCGCGAACUGGCAUGCUAGAGUCCGCGGAGGGCAGGCGGAAUUCGUGGUGUAGCGGUGAAAUGCGUAGAUAUGACGAAGAACCCCGAUUGCGAAGGCAGCUUGCUGCAGCGGAACUGACGCUGAGGCUCGAAAGCGAGGGUAUCGAACAGGAUUAGAUACCCCAGUAGUC
rnacentral:rRNA from 1 species